GACCUCAAGUGAUCCACCCACUCGGCCUCCCAAAGUGCUGGGAUUACAGGCGUGAGCCACCACUCCUGGCUAGAAUUUAAUAUAUAUAUAUGUUUUUCUUUUUCUUUUUUUUUUUGAGACAGAAUCUCACUCUGUCGCCAGGCUGGAGUGCAGUGGCAUGGAAUCUCAGCUCACUACAACCUCUGCCUCUCGGAUUCAAGCAAUCCUCCUGCCUCAGCCUCCCAAGUAGCUGGGACUACAGGCACGUACCAGCACAUCCAGCUAAUUUUUUGUAUUUUUAGUAGAGACAGGGUUUCACCAUGUUUGCCAGAUGGUCUCGAUCUCUUGACCUCGUGAUCUGCCCACCUCGGCCUCCCGUAGUGCUGGGAUUACAGGCGUGAGCCACUGCAACCAGCCAGAAUUUAAUAUUCUUUAGCUACUUUGACUCUAAGUCUGAAAAGAAUCAUUUUAGAACCUGCAAAGGCACAGGAAAUAACUAAAAUCCCCAAGGAAAUAUCUAAAAUUGGCCUUUAAGCAGAAGAGUAACAUAAACAAUGCUGGCUUCUCCUGAUCUCUAUCUAGUUCAAGGUUUUCCCAACCUUUUUUUCUGCCUCUACACUAUUUACAAGUGCAGGCUACUCCCAUCCAUGAUAUCUCAACCAUUCAUUUCUCCUGUAAGCCAGUGGUCCCUAACCUUUCUGGCACCAGGGACUGGUUUCAUGAAAGACAAUUUUUCCAUGGAUGGGGAUGGAGGGGAUGGUUUCUGGAUGAAUCAAGUGCAUCACAUUUAUAUUUAGAUUCUCAUAAGGAGCAUGCAACCUAGAUCCCUCACAUGUGCAGUUCACAGUAGGGUUUGUGCUCCUAUGAGAAUCUAAUGCCACUGCUUACAUCAAAGGAGGCAGAGCUCGCCUGUCACUUACCUCUGGCUGUGGGCCAGGUUCCUAACAGCCAUGUUUCAAGUUUGUUUGUCAAGUUACCAUGUGGAAUCUAACAUAUUUUCCUCAGAAAACAGUAUCACAUAGUGGUUAGCUUCCCAGGUCAGAUAAUAAAGUUCUGCCUACUCCACAACUCAGCUGAAAAGCGGUAGAAAAAAAAAA
rnacentral:lncRNA from 10 species